GACGAACGCUGGCGGCGUGCUCAACACAUGCAAGUCGAACGGAAAGGCCCUGCUGUUGUGGGGUGCUCGAAUGGCGAAAGGGUGAGUAACACGUGAGUAACCUGCCCUUGACUUUGGGAUAACUUCAGGAAACUGGGGCUAAUACCGGAUAGGAGCUCCUGCGGCAUGGUGGGGGUUGGAAAGUUUCGGCGGUUGGGGAUGGACUCGCGGCUUACCAGCUUGUUGGUGGGGUAGUGGCUUACCAAGGCUUUGACGGGUAGCCGGCCUGAGAGGGUGACCGGCCACGUUGGGACUGAGGUACAGCCCGGACUCCUACGGGAGGCAGCAGUGCGGACUAUUGCACUAUGGGCGGAAGCCUGAUGCAGCACCACCACGUGCGGGAUGGCUGCCUUCGGGUUGUAUACCGCUUUCGCCUGUGGCGAAGCGUGAAUGACGGUAAUGGGUAGUGAAGCACCGGCUAACUCCGUA
rnacentral:rRNA from 1 species